rnacentral:rRNA from 1 species
CAUCCACUCCAUUGCCGAGUGGAUCCGCUGCUACGCAUCGGCUGGACUCUCCCACUAGCCGGUGUGACCCUGACUCUGUGCCGGGUCUGAGGAUGCCCUCCGUCGUCAUCCCUUAGAAGCCGUUACCUGCUUUCAGACUGGCUCGUUGCGGCGCACUCACUACUUCCAAAAGCCUAGCAUUUUGAGACAACAGUCCCUUCUUGUUCAUGCUCUCAUUGACGAGCAUGGAACUGCCAUGGACUGGUCUUUCGGUGCCGAUUGAUGCACGGUCGUCGGCGCCAUUAUGCAUCCACCGUUCGCAACAGGCCUUAAUAACCCGCAUUUCGCGCGCGUCCGCCAAGAAAUUCAGACUACACUUUCGGGUGCCGAGUUGGCACCUCCCAGUAACCUUUGACCCCUUGAACUCACGUCCUCUCUUUUCACCUUAAGGUGCACAUCGCCACUUUACGCAUCUCUACACCUCCUUGUGGUCACCGCUUCCGCCGAAAAACCGGACAUUGACUGCGACUCCGCGCUUUCGCACCCCUCGUUUGUCCUAAUCUAUGGGACCAUCAGGUGCGGCAUUUGCUACUCACGAUCCACAACCCCCCAAGGUGGGAGUCACGACUGCAAUUGUGUAAUUCGUGA